rnacentral:rRNA from 1 species
GGGGGGGGGGGGGGGGGGGGGGGGGGGGGGGGGGGCGGACGGGGGGAGGGGGGGGGGGUGGGGUGGCGGGGGGGGGGGGGCGGACGGGGGGGGCAGGCGGCGGGAUCUGCUUUUUCGUGGGUGGGGACGUGGGGGGGGUUACGCUAAUACCGCAUACGACCUACGGGUGACAGCAGGGGAUCUUCGUACCUUGCGCGAUUGACUGCGCCGAUGUCGGAUUAGCUAGUUGGCGGGGUAACGGCCCACCAAGGCGACGAUCCGUAGCUGGUCUGAGAGGAUGAUCAGCCACACUGGAACUGAGACACGGUCCAGACUCCUACGGGAGGCAGCAGUGGGGAAUAUUGGACAAUGGGCGCAAGCCUGAUCCAGCCAUACCGCGUGGGUGAAGAAGGCCUUCGGGUUGUAAAGCCCUUUUGUUGGGAAAGAAAAGCAGCAGGUUAAUACCCCGCUGUUCUGACGGUACCCAAAGAAUAAGCACCGGCUAACUUCGUG